UACGAAGGGGGCUAGCGUUGCUCGGAAUCACUGGGCGUAAAGCGCACGUAGGCGGAUCUUUAAGUCAGGGGUGAAAUCCUGGAGCUCAACUCCAGAACUGCCUUUGAUACUGAGGAUCUCGAGUCCGGGAGAGGUGAGUGGAACUGCGAGUGUAGAGGUGAAAUUCGUAGAUAUUCGCAAGAACACCAGUGGCGAAGGCGGCUCACUGGCCCGGUACUGACGCUGAGGCGCGAAAGCGUGGGGAGCAAACAGG
rnacentral:rRNA from 1 species